rnacentral:rRNA from 1 species
GACGAACGCUGGCGGCGUGCUUAACACAUGCAAGUCGAACGGAAAGGCCCUGCUUUUGUGGGGUGCUCGAGUGGCGAACGGGUGAGUAACACGUGAGUAACCUGCCCUUGACUUUGGGAUAACUUCAGGAAACUGGGGCUAAUACCGGAUAGGAGCUCCUGCUGCAUGGUGGGGGUUGGAAAGUUUAGGCGGUUGGGGAUGGACUCGCGGCUUAUCAGCUUGUUGGUGGGGUAGUGGCUUACCAAGGCUUUGACGGGUAGCCGGCCUGAGAGGGUGAACGGGGACAAGGGGACUGAGAGAGGGCCCAGUCUCCUACGGGGGGCAGCAGGGGGGAAUAUUGCACAAUGGGCGGAAGCCUGAUGCAGCAACCCCGCGUGCGGGAAGACGGCCUUCGGGGUGUAAACCGCUUUCGCCUGUGACGAAGCGUGAGUGACGGUAAUGGGUAAAGAAGCACCGGCUAACUACGUG